rnacentral:lncRNA from 1 species
CAUGAACGAAAAUAUACUGGAAAAAUUGCAUAUAAAUGUGUGUUCAACGGUAUCUAAAAAACAUAGAUGUUCAUCAUAAGAUCUAAAUAACAUAGAUGUUCGACAUAAGUUUAUAAAACAUACAUGUUCGACAUCUAUCGAAUCCUAAAAAUUGAGAAAAUGAAAUAGCUGCACAGGUUAAAAUGUCUCUAGAUCUGCACCAACAAUAAAAAUAUAAUCUUUCUUUUCAGCUGGCACCACAAUUCUUCAAGAACACGCUCUUUAAUCUUUAUCACAUUCUUCAUCUGUUAAAAAAAAAAAAUUGAGGUCAAUUCGUAACAGAAUGCCGGAUAGCUAUAACUUAUAACUUUUAAAGUAUAAAUCAAUCAUUUAAUCACCAAAGAGCCCAAAAGUUGGCACUGCAUAAUUCUCAUCAGCAUCAGAACUAGUAAAGUCAAAGUGUGGAGCCAAUUUUGGAACAAUAUAGGCCUGUGAUUUUUUUCAAAGUUCAUUCUUGGUACAGUUGCUCCACAAUUCACAGGGAUUUCUAUUAUUGAAGAUGGAAGUGAGGGUAUAACUAUGGAAUUAGAGAUGCAAUGGGAUGGGAAUCCAAGCAUAAUACUCGAUAUCAAGACUUAUGUAGGUGUAGCAUUACCAGUGCAGGUGAAAAACAUUGGGUUUACUGGUAUUUUCAGGCUCAUCUUCAGGCCACUUGUUGAUGAGUUUCCUUGCUUCGGAGUUGUAUGCUAUUCUCCAAGGCAGAAGAAAAAGCUGGAUUUUACGCUUAAGUAAUUGGUG